rnacentral:rRNA from 1 species
AGAACGAACGCUGGCGGCAGGCCUAAUACAUGCAAGUCGAACGCUCCAGCAAUGGAGAGUGGCAGACGGGUGAGUAACACGUGGGAACCUUCCCUUUGGUUCGGAAUAGCUCAGGGAAACUUGAGGUAAUACCGGAUAAGCCCUUACGGGGAAAGAUUUAUCGCCGAAGGAUGGGCCCGCGUCGGAUUAGCUAGUUGGUGAGGUAAAGGCUCACCAAGGCUUCGAUCAGUAGCUGGUCUGAGAGGAUGAUCAGCCACACUGGGACUGAGACACGGCCCAGACUCCUACGGGAGGCAGCAGUGGGGAAUCUUGCGCAAUGGGCGAAAGCCUGACGCAGCCAUGCCGCGUGAAUGAUGAAGGUCUUAGGAUUGUAAAAUUCUUUCACCGGGGACGAUAAUGACGGUACCCGGAGAAGAAGCCCGGCUAACGUUCGUGCCAGCCAGCCGC